UCGGACGGGUGAGUAACGCGUGGAAAACCUGCCGUAUACUGGGGGAUAACACUUAGAAAUAGGUGCUAAUACCGCAUAAGCGCACAGCUUCGCAUGAAGCGGUGUGAAAAACUCUGGUGGUAUACGAUGGUUCCGCGUCUGAUUAGCUAGUUGGUGGGGUAAUGGCCUACCAAGGCAACGAUCAGUAGCCGGCCUGAGAGGGUGAACGGCCACAUUGGGACUGAGACACGGCCCAAACUCCUACGGGAGGCAGCAG
rnacentral:rRNA from 1 species